CCUACGGGGGGCAGCAGUGGGGAAUAUUGCACAAUGGGCGCAAGCCUGAUGCAGCCAUGCCGCGUGUGUGAAGAAGGCCUUCGGGUUGUAAAGCACUUUCAGCGGGGAGGAAGGCGGUGAGGUUAAUAACCUCAUCGAUUGACGUUACCCGCAGAAGAAGCACCGGCUAACUCCGUGCCAGCAGCCGCGGUAAUACGGAGGGUGCAAGCGUUAAUCGGAAUUACUGGGCGUAAAGCGCACGCAGGCGGUCUGUCAAGUCGGAUGUGAAAUCCCCGGGCUCAACCUGGGAACUGCAUUCGAAACUGGCAGGCUAGAGUCUUGUAGAGGGGGGUAGAAUUUCAGGUGUAGCGGUGAAAUGCGUAGAGAUCUGGAGGAAUACCGGUGGCGAAGGCGGCCCCCUGGACAAAGACUGACGCUCAGGUGCGAAAGCGUGGGGAGCAAACAGGAUUAGAUACCCCUGUAGUC
rnacentral:rRNA from 1 species